rnacentral:rRNA from 1 species
UACGGGGGGGGCAAGCGUUGUUCGGAAUUACUGGGCGUAAAGAGCGUGUAGGCGGCCAGGUAGGUCUGCUGUGAAAACUCGAGGCUCAACCUCGAGACGUCGGCGGAAACCAUCUGGCUAGAGUCCGGAAGAGGAGAGUGGAAUUCCUGGAUGUAGCGGUGAAAUGCGCAGAUAUCAGAAAGAACACCCGUGGCGAAGGCGGCUCUCGUGGGACGGUACUGACGCUGAGACGCGAAAGCGUGGGGAGCGAACAGG